rnacentral:rRNA from 1 species
AACGAACGCUGGCGGCAUGCCUAACACAUGCAAGUCGAACGAGACCUUCGGGCCUAGGGGCGCACGGGUGCGUAACGCGUGGUAACCUGCCCUUAGGUUCGGAAUCACUCCCCGAAAGGGGUGCUAAUACCGGUUAAUGUCUUCGGACCAAAGAUUUAUCGCCUUUGGGUGGGCCCGCGUUGGAUUAGCUAGUUGGUAGGGUACAAGCCUACCAAGGAGACGAUCCAUAGCUGGUCGGGGAGGAUGAUACGCCACAAUGGGACUGAGACACGGCCCAGAAUGCUACGGGAGGCAGGAGUGGGGAAUAUUGGAGAAUGAGCGAAAGUCUGAUCCAGCAAUGCCGCGUGAGUGAGGAAGGCGUUAGGGUUGUAAAGCUCUUUUACCCGAGGUGAUAAUGACGGUACCGGGAGAAGAAGCUCCGGCUAACUCCGUG